rnacentral:tRNA from 1 species
GGGCCAUUAGCUCAGUUGGCUAGAGCACCGCCAUGGCAUGGCGGGGGUCAAGGGUUCGAAUCCCUUAUGGUCCA